UUCCGGUUGAUCCUGCCGGACCCUACUGCUAUCGGGGUGGGACUAAGACAUGCAAGUCGUGCGUCUCUAAGCUAUGGUAGAGACGCGGCGUACGGCUCAGUAACACGUGGCUAACCUACCCUUAGGACAGGGACAACCCCGGGAAACUGGGGCUAAUACCCGAUAGGUGAGGAGGCCUGGAAUGGUUCUUCGCUGAAAAGGCGUUGAAACCAUGCUUUCUAACGUCGCCUAAGGAUGAGGCCGCGCCCGAUCAGGUUGUUGGUGAGGUAACGGCUCACCAAGCCUAUAACCGAUACGGGCCGUGAGAGCGGGAGCCCGGAGAUGGGCACUGAGACAAGGGCCCAGGCCCUACGGGGCGCAGCAGUCGCGAAAACUCCGCAAUGCGCGAAAGCGUGACGGGGCUACCCCGAGUGCCGUCCGCUGAGGAUGGCUUUUCCCCGGUGUAAUGAGCCGGGGGAAUAAGGAGAGGGCAAGACUGGUGUCAGCCGCCGCGGUAAUACCAGCUCUCCGAGUAGUAGGGACAAUUAUUGGGCUUAAAGCGUCCGUAGCCGGCUUAGCAAGUCUCCUGUUAAAUUCAGCGACCUAAUCGUUGAGCCGCGGGAGAUACUACUAGGCUAGGAGGCGGGAGAGGCCGACGGUAUUCCCGGGGUAGGGGUGAAAUCCUAUAAUCCCGGGAGGACCACCAGUGGCGAAGGCUGUCGGCUAGAACGCGCUCGACGGUGAGGGACGAAAGCUGGGGGAGCGAACCGGAUUAGAUACCCGGGUAGUCCCAGCUGUAAACGAUGCGGGCUAGGUGUUGAGGUGGCUACGAGCCACUUCAGUGCCGCAGGGAAAGCCAUUAAGCCCGCCGCCUGGGGAGUACGGCCGCAAGGCUGAAACUUAAAGGAAUUGGCGGGGGGAGCACAACAAGGCGUGAAGCUUGCGUUCAAUUGGAUUCACGCCGA
rnacentral:rRNA from 1 species